AACGAACGCUGGCGGCAGGCCUAACACAUGCAAGUCGAGCGAAGCCUUCGGGUUUAGCGGCGGACGGGUGAGUAACGCGUGGGAAUAUGCCCUUUGGUACGGAACAGUCCCGGGAAACUGGGUUUAAUACCGUAUGUGGUCCUUCGUAGUGGAUACGGGGGACGAAAGAUUUAUCGCCAAAGGAUUAGCCCGCGUUGGAUUAGGUAGUUGGUGGGUAACGGCCUACCAAGCCGACGAUCCAUAGCUGGUUUGAGAGGAUGAUCAGCCACACUGGGACUGAGACACGGCCCAGACUCCUACGGGAGGCAGCAGUGGGGAAUCUUAGACAAUGGGGGCAACCCUGAUCUAGCCAUGCCACGUGAGUGAUGAAGGCCUUAGGGUUGUAAAGCUCUUUCAGCUGGGAAGAUAAUGACGGUACCAGCAGAAGAAGCCCCGGCUAACUCCGUG
rnacentral:rRNA from 1 species